rfam:Trichomonas vaginalis G3, whole genome shotgun sequence.
CCAAAAGCAGGUAUCCGCUAAAGAGUGUGUUAAAACUCACCUGCCGAAUACUAGGGCCCCGAAAAUGAAUGGCGCAUAUAGUACUACCGAUCUCAGACAUCAGUUCUAUUGAACUGAGAGUAGGGGGAUGUGGACAUUUUUGUGAAGGUGCAAUGUGAGUUGGACUGGAAGAAUGUCUAUUACAGAUCCUAAUUGAAGUAGCGAUUAUCCAGGCUUGUAUCCUGGGGGCUGAUGAGGAGUAGGGUUUCUGGACAACUUAAACAGAUCCAGAGUUAGUCGAUCCUAAUCUCAAUAAUGGGAGAAAGGGAGUACAGUUGAUAUUCUGUAACUGACAACAGUUCGCGGCAACGCAUACUAUUUUUCUCCGCCAAUCUUAUACCGUUGGUAGGGAUCUCUUUCCUACAUGACAGUACUAAUACCCAGGGAAACUGGUCAUCAGGCGAACUGCGGCGUUCUGCUGGCAAAACAUAGCUUCGGUUAUGUCAAUGGCUAUUGGAUUGGUCCAUGAAGCGAAAAAUAGUUUACUGUGUCACUCGUACCGAUAACCGCAUCAGGUCUUCUAGGUAAGUAGCCUAUGGCCAUUGAGGCAUGAUAGUUCAGGGAAUUCGGCCAAUUAGAGCUGUAACUUCGGGAUAAAGCUUGGCUCUGAUGAAAAUCAGAACCGAUUGUUACGCGGAGAGCCCAACUGUUUAAUAAAAACGUAGUGUCGCGCUGUGGUAGUAUAGCCAGUGAACGCGACAUGAAUCCUGCUCAGUGCUGUGUCUGUUAAUAUGGUUCAAGCCAACGAAGCACCGGUAAAUAGCUGGGGUAACUAUGACUCUUAUCAAAGUAGCGAAAUACCUCGUCACUUAAUUAGUGACCUGCAUGAACGGAGCUAUGAGGUUCUCACUGUCCCAAACUGUCUCUCAGCGAACCAACUGUAGUGGGAACGGUCACUAGAUAUCCAGCGGGGAAAGAAGACCCUGUAGAGCUUCACUUUGGUCUAGUCUUGUAUAGUUCCUGCGGGGGGUGUAGACUAGGUGGGGAGAAGCAUCGAUUCUGAAAAACCACUACCCUGGUUUGGAAUUAUGCUUUACCUAUCACAAGAUAGA